AUUGAACGCUGGCGGAAUGCUUAACACAUGCAAGUCGAGCGAGCUGUAGCAAUACAGCUAGCGGCGGACGGGUGAGGAAUACAUAGGAAUCUGCCUCAGAGCGGGGGAUAGCCCGGGGAAGCUCGGAGUAAUACCGCAUGAUGUCGCAAGACCAAAGUGGGGGACCGCAAGGCCCCACACUCUGAGAUGAGCCUAUGUCUGAUUAGCUAGUUGGCGGGGUAAUGGCCCACCAAGGCGACGAUCAGUAGCUGGUCUGAGAGGACGAUCAGCCGCACGGGAACUGAGACACGGUCCGGACUCCUACGGGAGGCAGCAGUGGGGAAUAUUGGACAAUGGGCGCAAGCCUGAUCCAGCAAUUCCGCGUGGGUGAAGAAGGCCUUCGGGUUGUAAAGCCCUUUAAGUUGGGACAAAAAAAUCGGCGAUAACAUCGCCGGUCUUGAUGGUACCGACAGAAUAAGCAACGGCUAACUCUGUGCCAGCAGCCGCCGUAA
rnacentral:rRNA from 1 species